rnacentral:tRNA from 1 species
GCUCAAAAAGUGUAAGUGAGUUAGAGCACAAGGCUCUUAACCUUGUGGUCGUGGGUUCGAGCCCCAC